rnacentral:lncRNA from 1 species
GGUGUGCUGGAUGGCUGCCUUUGCUUGAUGUGUUACAGUGAGUCUAGCCAUGUGGGUGUUUGGAUUUUGAGGGAAUAUGAAGGAGAAUGGAGUAAGUUCAUUACGGUGCCGAAACCUGAGACUGUGGUGUCGUUUGAAUCUGUGAGGCCUAUGAUCUAUUCCAAGGACAGGAGCAAAAUUUUGCUGGAGAUAAACAAUGGGAAGCUAAUGUGGUUUGAUUUGGAGAGUAAGGGUUUUGAAACGCUUGGAAUAAAGGGCUGUGAGGGUCCGUGUAAUUUGUGAGACCUAUGAUCUAUUCCAAGGACCGGAGCAAGAUUUUGCUGGAGAUAAACAAUGUAAAGCUGAUGUGGUUUGAUUUGGAGAGUAAGGGUUUUGAAACGCUUGGAAUAAAGGGUUGUGAGGGUCCGUGUAAUGCUGAAAUCGUGGUGAGUAGCCUUGUUUUGGGAUGUAAAGGUGAUCCUCGCAGAGCUCAAGAG